AUGGCAGCUGCGUCCAACAUGAUACCUUUUGGCCUGCUGUACAUGAGACCCCUACAGUGGUGGCUCAAGACCAAGGGUUUUUCCCAGAGGGGGAAUCCACUUCGUACUAUCAAGGUCACGGGGCAAUGGCUCCGUGCCUUAGACAUGUGGAAGAAACCUUGGUUCUUGAAUCAGGGCCCGGUGCUGGGAGCUCCUUGUUGCCGUGUAACACUAGCGACGGACGCAUCCCUCACCGGCUGGGGUGCGGUCAUGAGUGGCCACCCUGCCCGCGGUCUGUGGAGCAGUCGCCAUCUAACAUGGCAUAUCAAUUGUCUAGAGAUGCUAGCCGUCUAUCGGGCACUAAAAUAUUUCCUCCCAGACCUGAGAGGCCACCAUGUGUUGGUGCGCACCGACAACACAUCGGUGGUCUCUUACAUCAACCACCAGGGAGGUCUGCGUUCUGCGUCUGGCGCACCAGAUCCUUGUGAGGUCCCAGGACAAACUCCUCUCACUCAGAGCAGUGUAUAUUCCUGGGAAUUUGAAUGUGGGUAUUGCUCUGCUCCCGGGAGUUCUGGUGAGAGUACGCCGGGACGGGGUCCGUCUGCUGUUAGUAGCCCCGUUCUGGCCGGGCCGAGUAUGGUUCUCAGAUCUGGUCUCGCUCCUCGACGGCUCUCCAUGGGAGAUAACGAUCAGGACAGACCUACUCUCACAGGCGCAGGGCAUGAUAAUUCACCCUCGCCCGGAGUUAUGGAAACUGUGGGUGUGGCCCCUGAGGGGGCACAGCUCAUAGCAUCCGGUCUCUCAACCGAGGUUGUUGAGACCAUCCUCCAAUCCAGAGCUCCCUCAACGAGGAAACUGUACGAUUCCUGGGAAUUUGAAUGUGGGUAUUGCUCUGCUCCUGGGAGUUCUGGUGAGAGUACGCCGGACGGGGUCCGUCUGCUGUUAGUAGCCCCGUUCUGGCCGGGCCGAGUAUGGUUCUCAGAUCUGGUCUCGCUCCUCGACGGCUCUCAAUGGGAGAUAACGAUCAGGACAGACCUACUCUCACAGGCGCAGGGCAUGAUAAUUCACCCUCGCCCGGAGUUAUGGAAACUGUGGGUGUGGCCCCUGAGGGGGCACAGCUCAUAG
rnacentral:lncRNA from 1 species